AAAAAAAAAGGGAAAAUAGAGAAAAGAAAAGAAAAAGACAAAGGAGAGGAAAGAGAAGAAACGAAACUUAUUGGCGUUGUGAGUCACUGGGUUGUAGCCGUGGGAGACGAUGCUAAAAGCUGACGCAUUUUCGCCGAUGCUAUUCGACGAUGCAACGCGACAAGUUGCAUUCUUAUCGUAGAAAUUCGCCAUUGUAGGCCAGCGUAGAUCUCGUCAACUGGAUAUGUUGGCCUUUACGGAUCAUCCAUCGCGAUGCAUUUCAAUCGAAAUGGAAUUAUUUGUUAUUGGUCUGGACGAAAUGUCACGAUCAGGAAGGACGCAGAUGACGAUGAUAAUGAAGAGACGUUUAAAUGAAGAGAGGCAAAGAAAAAUAGAAAGUCGAAGAGGUGAGGAAUUUUCAUGAAUUUUGAUUGCAGAGGAGGAUGAAGCUGAUGCAGCUCUUUUUGUCAGAGGUUACCAUCGAAGGUUCUAUGGUUCUGAGGAACACAGAGGAAACCAUAAGUCAUAUUCUCUAUUACUAAGCGAUCUUCAUGCUCGAUCGUCGUUGUGGGUUCUAGUGACACCAACUAUCUUGAAAAGAAAUAUCUUUAAGAUUAUUUUAUCCCUGCGCAUUUAUCGCGCAGGAACCGAUUGAAAUUAUUAUAUUUCUUUAUACCUAAAUCUACGUAUAUAAUUGAAAUGAAAGAUUUUUGUAUCUGUAUGUACGAAUAAAUUGAUUU
rnacentral:misc_RNA from 1 species